rnacentral:tRNA from 1 species
AAAAAUUUAGUUAAAUUAUAACAUUAGUUUGUCAAACUAAAAUUAUUUUUAAAAAUAGAUAAUUUUUU